UACGUAGGGUGCAAGCGUUAAUCGGAAUUACUGGGCGUAAAGCGCGUGUAGGCAGCCCCGCAAGUCGGAUGUGAAAGCCCUGGGCUCAACCUAGGAAGUGCAUUCGAAACUGCGGGGCUGGAGUCCUGGAGAGGAAGGCGGAAUUCUCGGUGUAGAGGUGAAAUUCGUAGAUAUCGAGAGGAACACCGGUGGCGAAGGCGGCCUUCUGGACAGUGACUGACGCUGAGACGCGAAAGCGUGGGGAGCAAACAGG
rnacentral:rRNA from 1 species